UGGGGAAUCUUGCGCAAUGGGCGAAAGCCUGACGCAGCCAUGCCGCGUGUAUGAUGAAGGUCUAGGAUUGUAAAUACUUUCACCGGUGAAGAUAAUGACUGUAGCCGGAGAAGAAGCCCCGGCUAACUUCGUGCCAGCAGCCGCGGUAAUACGAAGGGGGCUAGCGUUGCUCGGAAUUACUGGGCGUAAAGGGAGCGUAGGCGGACAUUUAAGUCAGGGGUGAAAUCCCGAGGCUCAACCUCGGAACUGCCCUUGAUACUGGGUGUCUUGAGUGUGAGGGAGGUAUGUGGAACUCCGAGUGUAGAGGUGAAAUUCGUAGAUAUUCGGAAGAACACCAGUGGCGAAGGCGACAUACUGGCUCAUUACUGACGCUGAGGCUCGAAAGCGUGGGGAGC
rnacentral:rRNA from 1 species